AUACUUAAACCUGGCAGGGGAGAUACCAUGAUCACAAAGGUGGUUUUCCCAGGGUGAGGCUUAUCCAUUGCACUCUGGGUGUGCUGACCCCUUUUCAAUCAAUUAAUUAAUUUAUAAAAAUUAAAUUAAAUUUAA
rnacentral:snRNA from 1 species